CAGGUUUGACCUCGGAUCA
rnacentral:rRNA from 1 species